GUGGUGCGAUCUUGGCUCACUGCAAUCGCCGCUUCCUGGGUUCAAGUGAUUCUCCUGCCUCAGCCUCCCAAGUAGCUGGAAUUACAGGCACACGCCACCACACUCAGCUAAUUUUAAGACAGGCUUUUGGAUUUGAACUGCUGAUGGUCUUCCAUGAACAAUUCAACAGAAACCCAGUAGCGCACACUUCCUUGUAUGCACUUGCUCCCUCUCUUUACAUUUAUUACACAUUUAAUGCUACCUAAUAAUUCCCUAUACUUAUCUUUUACUUUAUCCAAUCAUUCAACAGAUUCCAACCGAAAUACAUAGAAGAGUGAUAUUCCAACUUCAUCAGACCCUGAGAUUCUAUUUUUAACAUUUCUUCCAUGGAUUGUUGAAUGUUUCCAAUGAUUGAUCCACCUUCCCUUGGCCUUUUCUACAUUACAGAUUUGGUUGCAUGUCCUUGUCUAUGUUGCCAAACUUGCCUCAUAGACCCAGCUUGAACACAAGAUGGGUGCUUGCUGAAGAGCAGGACUCAUUCUGUUGAACCUGCAUGUUUUCUCAGAGCUGGUGUCUUGCCAUGUUGCCCAGUGCUGGCCUUAAGUGAGUCUCCCAUCUCAGUCUCCCAAGGUGCUAGGAUUUCAGGUGUGGAUCACCGCGCCCGGACUGCUUUGACAUCCUGAGGACUUGCUGAUCCAAGAGAGACUGCCCCUACCUGGGCCAUAAAUUCCUAAACUAUUAACUUCUAAUUGGAGUGCUACCAAUUUUUUUUUCGUUUGUUUUUUGAGAUGGAGUUUCACUCUGUCACCCAGUCUGGAGUGCAGUGGCGUGAUCUCAGCUCAAUGCAAGCUCCACCUCCCGGAUUCAGGCCAUUCUCUGACCUCAGCCUCCCGAGUAGCUGGGACUACAGGUGCCUGCAACCACGCCUGGCUAAUUUUUUGUAUUUUUAGGAGAGACGGGGUUUCACCAUGUUAGCCAGGAUGGUCUCGAUCUCCUGACCUCAUGAUCCACCUGCCUCGGCCUCCCAAAGUGCUGGGAUUACAGGAGUGAGCCACCGCGCCCGGCCGAGUGCUACCAAUUUUUGCAGAGUAAUAUUGAACUCUUGUUCUAUUAUUAUGGAAAGAUUUAGAACUGCCCUUUCUGUCACAUAAUUUCCAACGCCUGGAAAAAAGGAUCUCAAUACUGAAAAUAACUUAGAAUUGUAACAUACAAGUGGGUUUUCCCUGAUGUCAUAUCUAGUAUGUUCAUGUGGUAUUACUUUGUGUAUAAAAGAGCCCAAGUUUGUAAUUUGGCUGACAUUUAAAGUGACACCUGGUGAUAGAAGGUGUUGGGUAUCCAAUUCUACAUUGACCUGACCAUUUAGGUGAGAACCUUUAUAUAAUCUGUUGCCACAUAAGAUAAAAAGACCAAUGUUGUUCACAGAUAAGUUCAGAGUGGAACUCAUGACCCACCAGGUUGGGGGCUGGUGUCUUGUCACCUAUCAUGUAGGCAUCUGCACACAUCCAUCUUCCAUGUGUCUUUGUCAGUCUGUAGGAGAAUGGGUUGCAAAAUAUCUAAUAUAGGAGGCCUGCAGUUUGGCCUUGACAUGUCUGUGGCUUGGUUUUGUUAUGUGACCAAGUUUGUCCAGAUUUUUGGUCUACCCGUAUUUAAUGUCUAGUGUUUGGCAGCCUAAUGAAGAGAGCAGAUGAGCUACCCCAUAUUAUACAAGGGUGGCUUGUGAGCUUACUGUAACAUCCAGUGAUAUGACAAGUGUUUGUACCAUAAGAGUCAGUGCCAGAACCUUCUAUAACCUUCAUGGGAGGCUUGAGGAUGCCACCUGUGGAACCAAAUCACAGGAUUCAACUGUAAUAUCAUCUUGCUAUGUCACCUAUAAAUCA
rnacentral:lncRNA from 1 species